AAAACACCUUAUAGUCGCCUGCGGGUUAUCCAUAAUAACCUAAUUUUAAAGUUUACAAGUCAUUUUCUCUCUCUCCGGCCGACGCGUCCAUCUCUCUAUCUCUCUCUCUCUCACUCUCGCUCGCUAACUCGGGUCAAAAGGAACAAAUUUUUGUUGAAGUUCUGUACUUUUUCGUGGAAAAUCAUAGUGGGUCUUAUUUGAUUUGGUGUUUCAAGCUCUUUGCCUUUGUCCAAACAAGAGAUUUUCCUCUUCAUAUACCCUUUUCAUGCUAUUAUAAGUUGACAGUGAAAACCAAAUAUACAUAAUAGCCAUGACUUGUUCAUUGAAGAUCACUCUCAAUAUCUCUAGGUUGAAUGAGACUAUUCUGAACUCAAAAACCACAACUGCUUCUCGGUUUUGUCCAUAUUUUGGUGCUAUACGAAUUGGAGAAUCGACACCCAAGGACUUCCCUAAUUUGAGAAUCAAUUUCAUGGGCAAGCCACUUGUUUUCCUUGAAAAAAAGGAUUUUAGGGAUUCGAGUAUCAAAGCCCCAAGCAAUUUCUCUGUUCGUGCACAAGCUUCGAUCUGUGUGAGCAGAGCUCUCAGAUGGUGGGAGAAGACCCUUAAACCCAACAUGGUAGAGAUCCAUUCAGCUCAAGAACUUGUACACUCCUUGCUUAAUGCUGAUGAUAAAUUAGUGAUUAUUGACUUCUAUUCUCCUGGUUGUGGAGGCUGCAAAGCUCUCCAUCCUAAGGUAUUUCACUUGAUCCAAAUAUUAAUUUCAGAUUAAGAUGAUUAAUCCUUGUAUUUGGUGUAUUUCAUUAGACAGGUACAUUUUCUAGUCUAAACAGAGUUCCUAAAAUUCUUUAAAUCUGCUAUUUUCUGGGUAAAUUUCUAACGAUCUUCAUUUUUGUUCUGCUUAUCAGAUUUGUCAGCUGGCUGAAUCGAACCCCGAUGCAAUUUUUCUAAAAGUAAACUACGAGGAUCUCAAAACCAUGUGUCACGCCCUCCAUAUUCAUGUCCUGCCAUUCUUUAGGUUCUAUAGAGGUGCAGAAGGGCGUCUAUGUAGCUUUAGCUGCACUAAUGCAACUAUCAAGAAAUUCAAGGAUGCAUUGGCAAAGUAUGGAGCAUAUCGGUGUAGCCUAGGCCCGGCCAAGGGAUUAGAUGAAUCUGAGUUAAUGACAUUGGCAUCAAUUGGGGAAUUGCCAAUAGGCUUUCCUUUACCAUCCGCUAAAGAAGAAAGAGCGGAGGAUUUGAUCAUGAAAAGCAUUGAUUUACCUGGUGUAAUGAGCAAAACUGCCAAUGAGGUUGAUCUUAAAGAGGAAACUGCUGUUGGAGUUUGAUUUAUAAUACUAAGCUUAUUGGAGAUUAGGACUGGAUUGCAUUGGUUACUUUUUGUUCUUGAAUUGUAAAUAUCUCUGUUUUUGGAUUUCCAUAAUCAGGCUAGGCUUCUAGGUUUUUUUUUCCCCCAAGCUUGAGCCUCAGUCACAUCAGUAAAAUAAUUUAGGGAUUGGAGGUUGUAUUCUUGUCAAGAAAUUAUAUAUCAGCUUGUCAGAGUUUAUCGUUAACUAUUGAAUUUUUCUUGGUCUCUGUUUUAUGGGGAUUUUGCCAAGUUUUCCUGAUGUUAAUUCCAUUGUUAUACCGUUCUCUUCCUGUACUGUGUAAUCCUUAAAUUUGAAUGAGUCUCAGCAAUGA
rnacentral:misc_RNA from 1 species